rnacentral:rRNA from 1 species
GUGCCAGCAGCCGCGGUAAUACGGAGGGUGCGAGCGUUAAUCGGAAUGACUGGGCGUAAAGGGCAUGUAGGCGGAUAAUUAAGUUAGGUGUGAAAGCCCUGGGCUCAACCUAGGAAUUGCAUUUAAAACUGGUUAUCUGGAGUAUUGUAGAGGAAGGUAGAAUUCCACGUGUAGCGGUGAAAUGCAUAGAUAUUACACAGAACCCCGAUUGCGAAGGCAGGUUACUAAAUACCGAUUGACGCUGAUGGACGAAAGCGUGGGGAGCGAACAGGAUUAGAUACCCUGGUAGUCCACGCCCUAAACGAUGACAAUUAGCUGUUGGGGUACUAGUUACCUUAGUAGCGAAGCUAACGCGUGAAAUUGUCCGCCUGGGGAGUACGGUCGCAAGAUUAAAACUCAAAGGAAUUGACGGGGGACCCGCACAAGCGGUGGAUGAUGUGGAUUAA